CGGUCCAGAGCGCGCGAAGCCUACCCGCCCUGGGAGCAGAGGUCCUGGAGCGGCACCAGCAGCUGCCAAAGGGCAUCUUGCGAGGCGAGGGCUGGCGAGGUCCUGCGCAGACUUAGGAGACACGGCUGGACUCGUGACUCGGCUGCAGGUGACGCCAGGGAGACUCAGUACGCACUCCGAGGCGCAGUCCCGGGCUGGCCCGGCGCCGCUGGGCAGAGGAAUCUUCUGGGACUUUGAAGAGGGAUUCCGAUGUGAGAAUUCCUGGAAGAGCCAAGAAAACACCAGCAUUGAAGCCUGCGUGGCGUUCAGUUUGCUGACAACUUCAGAAGAAACAGCUGUCGUGUGGGGUUCUUGGCCAGCCGGCCGUUACAUCUUUUUCAGGCAACAAGCAAGUUUUCUAGAAGCAUCGUGCUGCAGGAACAGCACUUGGCUUCGUCAUCCCCAAGGCAUACAUGUCUCAUCCAUCACUUUCCAGCCAUCGGUACUUGACGACAAAUUGUUCCUUCCCAACUGCUCACACUGCAGCUUUUAUCCACUGAAGCCCUUGCUCCCUGACGUGUCUGUCAGCCUUGCACAGCUGCUGUCUUUUGCCCCUGGACCUACAAGGGGAAGGAUGAAAAGCUUCUGAAAGGGGAGCCACCAGCACUGGAACUCUGGGAACAGAUGGUGGUGGACGCAGGUAAAGAGAGCUCUAAAGGGGCUGGGGUCACUCACUCGCAGAUUAUCUUUGCCAAGUUCCAAUGUGUUUCCAGAAUUUCCAAACAAGCCAAUGUUUC
ensembl:lncRNA